ACAGAUUCGUCUCUAGGGGGGU
rnacentral:miRNA from 14 species